GUGUCAGCAGCCGCGGUGAUACGUAGGCAGCGAGCGUUGUUCGGAGUUACUGGGCGUAAAGGGUGUGUAGGCGGUUGUUUAAGUUUGGUGUGAAAUCUCCCGGCUCAACUGGGAGGGUGCGCCGAAUACUGAGCGACUAGAGUGCGGGAGAGGAAAGUGGAAUUCCUGGUGUAGCGGUGAAAUGCGUAGAUAUCAGGAGGAACACCGGUGGUGUAGACGGCUUUCUGGACCGUAACUGACGCUGAAACACGAAAGCGUGGGUAGCAAACAGGAUUAGAUACCCCAGUAGUCC
rnacentral:rRNA from 1 species